rnacentral:rRNA from 1 species
AUACGAAAGGUGCAAGCGUUGUUCGGAUUUACUGGGCGUAAAGAGAGUGUAGGUGGUUUAUUAAGUCGGAUGUGAAAUCCCGGGGCUCAACCUCGGAACUGCAUUCGAUACUGAUAGGCUAGAGUUUGGGAGGGGUAAGCGGAAUUCCGUGUGUAGCAGUGAAAUGCGUAGAUAUACGGAGGAACACCUGAGGCGAAGGCGGCUCACUGGCUCGAUACUGACGCUGAGGUGCGAAAGCGUGGGGAGCAAACAGGAUUAGAUACCCUAGUAGUCC